AACGCACCUUGCGCCCUUUGGUAUUCCGAAGGGCACGCCCGUUUGAGUGUCAUUGUAAUCUCACCUCUACGAUUUCUUGUCGUGGUCGUGGACUUGGAUGUCGUCGGCUCGUGUCGACCCGUCUGAAAUGUAUGAGUGUACCCUGCCGUGCAGCGUAUCUGGUGUGAUAAGCAUCUUCAUCAGAGUAAUGCCUCCUUUGGCGCGUCUGUGGUGUGGGCUCUGCGCUUCGAACCGUCUCUACAUGGGACAAUCUUUGACGAUUUGACCUCAGAUCGGGCGGGACUACCCGCUGAACUUAA
rnacentral:misc_RNA from 1 species